CUACGGGACGCAGCAGUGAGGAAUAUUGCGCAAUGGGGGAAACCCUGACGCAGCGACGCCGCGUGGAUGAUGAAGGCCUUCGGGUUGUAAAAUCCUGUCAGAUGGGAAGAAUUGUUCCAUGUCUAAUAUAUGUGGGACUUGACGGUACCGUCAAAGGAAGCACCGGCUAACUCCGUGCCAGCAGCCGCGGUAAUACGGAGGGUGCAAGCGUUGUUCGGAAUUACUGGGCGUAAAGCGCGCGUAGGCGGUCUGUUAAGUCAGAUGUGAAAGCCCAUGGCUCAACCAUGGACGUGCAUUUGAUACUGGCAGACUUGAGUACUGGAGGGGGCGGUGGAAUUCCCGGUGUAGAGGUGAAAUUCGUAGAUAUCGGGAGGAAUACCGGUGGCGAAGGCGACCACCUGGCCAGAUACUGACGCUGAGGUGCGAAAGCGUGGGGAGCAAACAGGAUUAGAUACCCCUGUAGUC
rnacentral:rRNA from 1 species